AUUUUAUGUUGAGACAGGAUCUCGCUGUGUUACCCCAUCUCAUCUCAAAUUUGGGAUUCUCUCGCAUCAAGUGGAUCACAGGCGUGGCCACCACUGCAUUUGGCUCAAGGAAACAAAGGCCGUUCCUUGCUGCUCACCUGAGUCUCUCUGGAGUCUGAAACCUGAGCCUGGACUCGUUCCUGGGAUUUCGCACUUCCUGCUGCAAACCACAUGUCAGGAGACCAGGAAUGCAGAAGCCUGUCGUCUUACAGGAACUGUGCUGCUUGGGCCAAUCUGAGUUAAUGUCGUGGAGGACUUACUAUUUCAUGCACUUUUGAAACCAACUUAACGGGGGUAAACAACAAAUAACUUUGUUGCGGUGUUUCAAGUGUUACAUCCCGCAUAUUCAUGUGCUAAGUCUACAGCAGGAAGGCCAGACCCUCACACUUCUGCACCUGUGGCAACACCCAGUACGAAGGCAAGACUGUUCCAGGCAUGAAAGAUACUGGCUCCAAGUCUGCAUAGAGCACAAUGAAAACAAGCAAAACUAGCCAUUUGGAGCUAAGAAAUAAACAUACAUCUAAAGAGUUCAUCACAAAAUAUGUUUCCUGUAAAUUCAGAUGAUGCUGCACAACAGAGUCAAGACUGUGCCCAUCCAGUCUGAAUAGCCCGAUUGCGAGACCCAAUCUUGGGAAACAGUAAACUCAGGGAGUAGAAUUCAUGGUGUGGAUCUAAGAGAUGUUCCAGAGUGGCAGUUAUCUCAUGGUUGAUCGAUGGUCCCUUCGCAGUUCAGUGUAGUCUUGACCCAGACUAGGGCAAAAAGAGGGAAGAAAGUCAGGAACCUAGCAUACCAAACAAAAACCCCCGCUGGAAUCCUUCUCUGACUCAAUUCAUCAUUGCCUCCCAGGCUUCUGGUAUGAUAGGGUCUUUUUUUUUUUCCUUUAAUUUGGUUUGUUUUUUCAAUCCCUGAUAAAUUUGAAUCAUAGUCACUCUAUGAUGUGCGCUUUGGGGGAAAAAAAAAAAGUGUUUAGAAUCCUUGUUUAAACUAGAAUAAUGGAUUCAGCUUUGAAAGUAAUACAUGAUCAUUUCCUGACCAGUGAAAGACCCCAAAUCCUGUGUGACCAGAGUUAGUAUUUAUGUAACAAACAUGCCUUGGGUUUAUUUGCUGUCAUUGGGGGCUGGAGAGAAAUGCCCCAGCAGUUCUCCACAGUAUGGUUGGCACAGCCAUGGACUAUAUAAUCUUUCUUAGUUUGCAAAUGUUGUUAGAAAACCAGCACAUGUCAUAUCAUAUUGUUUUUAAUGCAGUAAAGAGUCAGAUGAUCCUGCACAGCUUGCUCAGUGCAGGAAGGCGGGGCGCAGGCCUGGCUGCUCUGCUGGCUGAGUCCAAAUCAAUUAUGCUCUAAUCAGAACUGUUUCCGGAACUGGUCAGAUGGAGGUUCAGAGUGAAAAGGAAAAAUUGCUAUUUCUCUUCAGAUCCUGUUUGCAUUAGUGGACUCCAUCUGAGACACAUCCUGUUUGACCUCUGGUGUGGCGGGGGAAGGGAACUAUUCUGUUUGACUUUUGACUGUCAUUGAUCCAGGGCCUUUUUUUUUUUUUUCCCCUCCAGAAAAAGCUCAGCUUGGUAUUAAAGUUCAGUCAUCAUUCCCAGUCUAUAAAGAUAUGUAGUCUGAACUAUUCAUGUUCCUCAAAGAGUGGCUCCUAACACAUCUGGACACCUCCCCAGGACCUUUGUUCAAAAUUCAGAUUUCGACACAGUCUUAGGAAGGUGCUACUUUAACCAGUUACCUCGGUGGUUCUGGAAUAAAUGCAGCCAAGUUUAAGAAGUUCCUUUAGGAUGAGAAAUGCCCAAAUCUAGGCUCCUAAUCUUAAGUCACUGACUUCAGUCAGGCCUUACUCCCCUAUUUAUCUUUUAAUGCUGGGAAAAGUGUUUGGAAUUUUGGGAGCCUAGGAAGAAUGACUGAAAGAGAUGCCCCGCCUCUGAGCUCAGGAGCCUUUAGGAUGCCCUCCACCCACAGGGAGUGGUGGCUAGUGAGAGGGAAGCGUGCCAGAGGGGUCAGCCUCAAGGCUGCUCUCAGACCCUGGCCAACUUCUCACCAAGGCAUGCCAAAGAGAAAAAAUAAGGAUGAAAUUAAAUUUAUUCAAAUUAUUUUGUGAUUAUAUUAGUCACUUCUCUCUGGGGGCUUUAACUCUUUUCUUUUAGAGAUUUAUUUUUAAUGUAUAUAUUUUCAAAUAAUAAAUGAUAAUUAAUUCAUGAUACUCCUUGUACAAAAAUUGUACAAAUUUUACAAUACCUCCUCCUACACUGACUAUGUGGGAAGUCUCCCCUCCAAUCCAGAGUUCUGAUUUCUCAACACCAAACUGUUACUGAUUUCUUAUUCUUCAAAAAAAAAAAAAAUGCUCUGUGCAUAUACCGG